AACGAACGCUGGCGGCAUGCCUAACACAUGCAAGUCGAGCGGGUGAAGCGGGCUUGCUCGUGGAUUCAUCGGCGGACGGGUGAGUAAUGCCUAUGAAUCUGGCUUGACGUGGGGGAUGGCGUCCUAAAACGGGCUCUAAUACCGCAUACGUCGUGUUGUCGAAAUUGGGUGAGCUUGGGUUCGAACGCCUUCAUGGUAGCAUAGGUCGGAUUAAAUAGUUGGUGGGGUAACUGCUUACCAAGGCGACGAUGCAUAACUGGUCUGAGAGGAUGAUCAGUCACACUGGAACUGAGACACGGUCCAGACUCCUACGGGAGGCAGCAGUGGGGAAUAUUGGACAAUGGGCGAAAGCCUGAUACAGCCAUGCCGCGUGUGUGAAGAAGGUCUUCGGAUUGUAAAGCACUUUAAGUUGGGAGGAAGGGCAGUAAGUUAAUACCUUGCUGUUUUGACGUUACCAACAGAAUAAGCACCGGCUAACUUCGUG
rnacentral:rRNA from 1 species